GAUAAACGCUGGCGGCGCACAUAAGACAUGCAAGUCGAACGAACUUAACCAUUAGUUUACUAUUGGAGCGGUUAGUGGCGGACUGGUGAGUAACACGUAAGCAACCUGCCUAUCAGAGGGGAACAACAGUUGGAAACAGCUGCUAAUACCGCAUAAUGCAACGAAAUCGCAUGACUUUGUUGCCAAAGAUUUAUCGCUCUGAGAUGGCCUCGCGUCUGAUUAGCUAGUUGGCGGGGUAACGGCCCACCAAGGCGACGAUCAGUAGCCGGACUGAGAGGUUGGCCGGCCACAUUGGGACUGAGACACGGCCCAG
rnacentral:rRNA from 1 species